rnacentral:rRNA from 1 species
AGAUUGAACUGAAGAGUUUGAUCCUGGCUCAGAUUGAACGCUGGCGGAAUGCUUUACACAUGCAAGUCGAACGGCAGCACGGGUGCUUGCACCUGGUGGCGAGUGGCGAACGGGUGAGUAAUGCGUCGGAACGUACCGAGUAAUGGGGGAUAACGCGGCGAAAGUCGCGCUAAUACCGCAUACGCCCUGAGGGGGAAAGUGGGGGACCGCAAGGCCUCACGUUAUUCGAGCGGCCGACGUCUGAUUAGCUAGUUGGUGAGGUAAUGGCUCACCAAGGCGACGAUCAGUAGCGGGUCUGAGAGGAUGAUCCGCCACACUGGGACUGAGACACGGCCCAGACUCCUACGGGAGGCAGCAGUGGGGAAUUUUGGACAAUGGGGGAAACCCUGAUCCAGCCAUUCCGCGUGAGUG